rnacentral:lncRNA from 1 species
GACUGUUUAGUCCGCCCAUUUUACUAUUUGCCUUGAUGUCACCUUUGGUAUGGGAGGUAUAGGAAAUAUUUUCUGGCCAGCAGCGGAGUUUUUACCUUCAAAAUUCUUCCCAUCGUCUCUUCGUUCUUCACAAGGAGUCGAUAAUGGAAGGCAAUUUUUGGGCUGCUUGUGGGCCACUCUGCUUGCUGAGAGUGCUUCUCAGCUUGCCUGCUGAGAGUGCUUCUCAGCCUCUUUGCUCGCCAUUGCAGCGAUGCAUUUAGGAAGGUGGUGAGGCCAGUACACCCUCUUACUCGGCGAUCCCACCAUUGCAGCGAUGCAUUUAGGAAGGC